CCCUUAGAGUUUGAUCCUGGCUCAGGAUGAACGCUAGCUACAGGCUUAACACAUGCAAGUCGAGGGGCAGCAUGGUCUUAGCUUGCUAAGGCCGAUGGCGACCGGCGCACGGGUGAGUAACACGUAUCCAACCUGCCGUCUACUCUUGGACAGCCUUCUGAAAGGAAGAUUAAUACAAGAUGGCAUCAUGAGUCCGCAUGUUCACAUGAUUAAAGGUAUUCCGGUAGACGAUGGGGAUGCGUUCCAUUAGAUAGUAGGCGGGGUAACGGCCCACCUAGUCUUCGAUGGAUAGGGGUUCUGAGAGGAAGGUCCCCCACAUUGGAACUGAGACACGGUCCAAACUCCUACGGGAGGCAGCAGUGAGGAAUAUUGGUCAAUGGGCGAGAGCCUGAACCAGCCAAGUAGCGUGAAGGAUGACUGCCCUAUGGGUUGUAAACUUCUUUUAUAAAGGAAUAAAGUCGGGUAUGGAUACCNCGUAUGCAUGUACUUUAGAAUAGGA
rnacentral:rRNA from 1 species